rnacentral:lncRNA from 1 species
CCUCUCGAAUUGGCCUCCAAAAGCUCCAAACUAACCAAAAUCAGCAUUAUAUCAUUAAUGCAUGCUAAAGGAACAAGCCCAAGCGAAAAUAAGCAAACCAACUAACCAAACCCACAAAAUUUUGCACACACGCCCCAAAUGACACAACAGACCUACUCUAGUUUUUAAAAUUCCAAUUCGACCCCGAUAUCACAUUUACAUUACCAACCGGAAAACGCAAAAACUCUAAUUUUGCCAAUUCAAGCCUAAAUCUACCACGGAGCUCCAAAUCACAUUCGGGACGCGCUCCUAAGUCCAAAUUUAACCUAACGGAGCUAACCAAAUCAUAAAAAUCCAGAUCCGAGAUCGAAUAGUAAAAAGUCAAAACUUGAUCAAACUUUUCAAAUUUAAAGCUUCAAACUGAGAAUUAUUUUUUUCAAAUCUGUUCCAAUUAUCCUAAAAACCAAAACCAAUGAUCUAAAUAAGUCAUAAUACACCAUACGGGACUAUUCAUGCCCGAAAACUAGCGAGCAAAGUGCAAAUGCUCAAAAUGAUCAGUCGGGUCGUUACAUCCUCCCCCAUUUAAACAUACGUUUGUCCUCGAGCGUGCCUAGAGUUGUUCCAAAAGUCAUCAAAUUGCUACAUAACCUUACCAUGCACUUAGCCGGGGGUUAUCUCACAUCAUCGAAUCCCAUACAGGCAUGAUAGCACAACAUAAUUGAAAUUUUGUAAUCCAACCUAGCCCAUUAAGCUUAUAACCAAAUUUCCAUUUCCGAAAUUAUCUAUAAGAUCAGAUUCUCACAUAUAUAUUCUGAAUAAGUCUAAACAAGCUAUAUCAAACAAUAUUCAUAUCACAAGACGUAAUCACAUGAUAUACCACAUAACUCAAUCACUCGUGGUGAUAAUUAUAAUCAUAACAGUUGCUCAAAGCAACCGAAUACCGAUAAUAAACCUCUUAUAAAUUAAUGUCUCAUUCCAACACUUUCAUAAAUUACCAAUGAUGAAUGAAACACGUAGCAAGUCAUAAUCAUUCCUCAGAUGAACCGGUCGUGGAGCUCCCUCUCCUUCGGCAAGGACCAUAGUAAAUUUCUAUGUUGAAUCCCUAUUAUCCUUCCAACAUGUUGAAACCGAAUCCAAUAGUAUUCAUUCUAGAUCUCAAUAACCUCAUCUCAUCCAACACGACUACUCUAGUGACAUGACACAUCGAUAAAAUUUAAAUCAACAACCCGUGCGAGCCGUACACCAAUAAGCAAUAGUCCAAAUAUACUCAAAUCAUGGAAAAAUGAUUGAAAUGAGAGAGUUGUACCACAAGCUUGCCAAUACCACCACGACACAAUGCUGAGAACCCACACACAUCAUAGAACCAGAAAACAUGAAUCUAACCCGAAAGAUCAUACCUCCACAUAACUUUUCUACAAUACGUGGCCCUAUCCAAACACUGGUCCACAUGAAACACUUAAACUUAAUAUGCUCAAAAUCAACAACCAAACGCAAUCUAAUGUCUAGUACCAAAAGAAAAUCAUCAUAACAACGUCGAAGUAAAUGACAUAACACCACACAAACCUGAAAGGACAUAAUCAAUAUGCCACCCACCGAGCAAUACCCAAUACUCUUCGCGCUCGAUCUUCACUAUGAGAUCUCAAUUUAACCGCACCAUAUGUGCCUAUAACUUAUCACACCUCCUUUUUACCUAGACCCCUGAAGGUAUAUGUAUAAGGGAGUUUUUUCCUAUUCAAAGUGACAAUCGGAACAAGAUUAUGUUAUUUAAAAUUCAGAGUCACCACUUGGGAUAAUUUAUGGUGUCUCAAGUCACUGGUUCAAAUCCCAAAUCGAGGAAAAGAUUGACUCUGUAUUAUAGUCCGCGAACACAAUCCAGGUAAGGAAUCCUGUUAAUCCGGGAGAAGGUGUUAGGCAUUCCCGAAUUUCGUGGUUUUAUCACGGUCGCUCAACUGUUAUUAUAGGCCCAAUUAUCUAAUUUUAAAAAACUUUAUAACCUAUGUGCAUUUUAACUUUAAAACCGCUUUUAUUUGUUUUAAGAAAAAUUUCAACGUCAUCUAGAACACAUCUUUGGACCCCGCCACAUGAAAUGCACCUACAGUCCAAGACACAUUUUAUUUAACGUUGUGAAGAUUUGAAUUUGGGUCAUAUGAAAUGCACACCCGAGUUAUAGGAAGGUAAUUUUAAAUUACGCGCUUAAUGCAACUACGCAUUUUUAACUUUGCUAGGGCUAUAAAAAAUUCAACUCAUGGUACACCUCCGUUCUGAUUUCAAAGGAUAGUACUCAACUAAAGCAAACUACGAAUGUUCAUAAGUGAUUAUUUCCUAAGGAUGCUCCCGACGACCUGAAUAAUUAAAAGAGAAACACGAAAUUAACGCAAUAUUUCUUAGGCCCGAAAUCCCUUCUCAUUAUUAACCGACCCCCAAAAAUCUUGUUUCAAUCCAACAUUAGGAACGGAUUCAACCAAAUAAUAAAAUAGAGCUAAGAACUACCAACACUUGAUAAAAUAUUUGAUAAAGGAAAACAAAUUUUCCAAUACCAAGCCUCAAGACCAAAUGCAGUUACCACCAUUUAUCAUAAAUUUUCAAAUUUAAUUUUUAUAAAAUGCUCCAUACGGUCAAAAUGUUAAAGGUAUAUACUCCAAUUACAUAUCAUUCCCUUUUGUUUAUUGAUACGGUUUCCUUCUACACUAGAAAUUAUUAAUUUUGGCUCAAGUUCAAGUAGCUACUUUUGAUCUCGGUUCCAAGGACCUUUUCUACGUAUUCAUACAAUUAAGUGAGAAGAUAAAGUGGCGCUCCAAGUUUAAGAAAGAAGACGAGUCUAAAUGCAUAUAUUGUGCCACUAACCUCAAUAGCAAUCAUCACAGCUCAAAAGCAGUAAAACAACAACCAAAAUGGAUCUAAACUCAAUCCAAAAACCAAAUUCUAAUCCAAACAACAUAGACGACAAUAUAUGAAGCAAAUAGACUAACUAAUCCAAACAAUUUCUGUUUUUACUUGUAUUCACAAAAUAAUUAGACACUAACAUUAAGGAGAAAGAAGAACUGAACCUUCGAUGGUCUUUAACUAACGAAGUUUCCAGCAACUACAUGGAUGAAGCUCACCGUGUCUAGGACCAGAUCUCGACAUCGCGACAAAAAUCCAAACAGAACCACGAUCGCAACCACGAGCCUAUCCUAAACUCGGGAUCUCUCACAAACUCCAUAGAAGCAGAAAUAGAUUGAUUCCUUGAUUCAAUUGAAUGAGAAUGCUUGUCCGAUUUUCUAGUCUACUUGUGUGUACGUCUACUUUUGAGCUAGGAGUUUAUGUUUUUGAAGGUCUUAAGUUUUUGGUGUUUCAAUUUUAUAAAGAAGUGUACCAGUUAUGGGGGGUCUGAUAUUUAGGAGUUGCGGCUGAAGGUGUUAGAGUCUAGGGUUGUUUUGUUUAGGAAGAAGAAGCUCGAUCUUUAGGGGGUCAUUGUUUGGUGGAAACAAAAUUUGAGCAUUGGGUGAAUUGAAGAAGACGAUAACUGGGGGGUUCUCUUUUUUGUCUCCUUUGAAACGCUACGCUUGAUUUUCUCAAAUUUUUGGGCUCAUAUUUUUGUGUCGUUUCUUUAGCUGAUAGGCCUUAGCUUAUAUCUUGG